CAGUCGCCACGGGAAUACGGAGGGAGCUAGCGUUGUUCGGAAUUACUGGGCGUAAAGCGCACGUAGGCGGUUUAUCAAGUCAGAGGUGAAAGCCCGGGGCUCAACCCCGGAACUGCCUUUGAAACUAGUAGACUUGAAUCUUGGAGAGGUCAGUGGAAUUCCGAGUGUAGAGGUGAAAUUCGUAGAUAUUCGGAAGAACACCAGUGGCGAAGGCGACUGACUGGACAAGUAUUGACGCUGAGGUGCGAAAGCGUGGGGAGCAAACAGGAUUAGAUACCCCAGUAGUCCCUGUCCCUUAUAC
rnacentral:rRNA from 1 species